rnacentral:rRNA from 1 species
AUUCCAGCUCCAAUAGCGUAUAUUAAAGUUGUUGCAGUUAAAAAGCUCGUAGUUGGACUUCUGGCAGGGCGCCGCGUGCCACAGUAGUGCGCACAAGGGCCCGGCCAUCCUUCUGUAAACGUCGGGGAAGUUUAUUCGUCCGCGGCGGGAUCAGUUAAUUUACCUUGAGAAAAUUAGAGUGUUUCAGGCAGGCGUAGCCGGAAUACAUUAGCAUGGAAUAAUGGAAUAGGACUUAGUCUCUUUGUUGGUUCGAGGGACUGGAGUAAUGAUUAAUAGGGAUAGUUGGGGGCAUUAGUAUUUAUUAGCUAGAGGUGGAAUUCUCUAAUUUGAUAAAGACUAACUUAUGCGAAAGCAUUUGCCAAGGAUGUUUUCAUUA